CAGCCUCCUGAGUAGCUGGGACUACAGGCAGCCUCCCCGCGGCCCCGGACGCAGCUCUCCAGCCUCAGGGGGGAGCCCAGGGCCCCAUGCUUCGUGUCUGCACACAGCCCGGUGCCCACGUUGCGGAUCUGGGAGGGAGAGAGAGAAGGAGUGGACCAGUGAGGCAUCUCGAGGGUGAGUGAAUGGCAAGAGGUGGCAGGAGUCCCUGCCAAGCCCGCUGAAAUCCGAAGGACAACAGUGGUCUCCUACCCUUCGACCAUGAAGACGGUGUGUGUAGCAGGAGAGCACUGGGUUGGGAGUCUGAAGCCCGAGGCUGCUCACCUGCUUAGGUGACAAACA